GAACGCUGGCGGCGUGCUUAACACAUGCAAGUCGAACGGAAAGGCCCUGCUUUUGUGGGGUGCUCGAGUGGCGAACGGGUGAGUAACACGUGAGUAACCUGCCCUUGACUUUGGGAUAACUUCAGGAAACUGGGGCUAAUACCGGAUAGGAGCUCCUGCUGCAUGGUGGGGGUUGGAAAGUUUCGGCGGUUGGGGAUGGACUCGCGGCUUAUCAGCUUGUUGGUGGGGUAGUGGCUUACCAAGGCUUUGACGGGUAGCCGGCCUGAGAGGGUGACCGGCCACAUUGGGACUGAGAUACGGCCCAGACUCCUACGGGAGGCAGCAGUGGGGAAUAUUGCACAAUGGGCGGAAGCCUGAUGCAGCAACGCCGCGUGCGGGAUGACGGCCUUCGGGUUGUAAACCGCUUUCGCCUGUGACGAAGCGUGAGUGACGGUAAUGGGUAAAGAAGCACCGGCUAACUACGUGCCAGCAGCCGCGGUGAUACGUAGGGUGCGAGCGUUGUCCGGAUUUAUUGGGCGUAAAGGGCUCGUAGGUGGUUGAUCGCGUCGGAAGUGUAAUCUUGGGGCUUAACCCUGAGCGUGCUUUCGAUACGGGUUGACUUGAGGAAGGUAGGGGAGAAUGGAAUUCCUGGUGGAGCGGUGGAAUGCGCAGAUAUCAGGAGGAACACCAGUGGCGAAGGCGGUUCUCUGGGCCUUUCCUGACGCUGAGGAGCGAAAGCGUGGGGAGCGAACAGGCUUAGAUACCCUGGUAGUCCACGCUGUAAACGGUGGGUACUAGGUGUGGGGUCCAUUCCACGGGUUCCGUGCCGUAGCUAACGCUUUAAGUACCCCGCCUGGGGAGUACGGCCGCAAGGCUAAAACUCAAAGGAAUUGACGGGGCCCCGCACAAGCGGCGGAGCAUGCGGAUUAAUUCGAUGCAACGCGUAGAACCUUACCUGGGUUUGACAUGGAUCGGGAGUGCUCAGAGAUGGGUGUGCCUCUUUUGGGGUCGGUUCACAGGUGGUGCAUGGCUGUCGUCAGCUCGUGUCGUGAGAUGUUGGGUUAAGUCCCGCAACGAGCGCAACCCUUGUUCACUGUUGCCAGCACGUUAUGGUGGGGACUCAGUGGAGACCGCCGGGGUCAACUCGGAGGAAGGUGGGGAUGACGUCAAGUCAUCAUGCCCCUUAUGUCCAGGGCUUCACGCAUGCUACAAUGGCUGGUACAGAGAGUGGCGAGCCUGUGAGGGUGAGCGAAUCUCGGAAAGCCGGUCUCAGUUCGGAUUGGGGUCUGCAACUCGACCUCAUGAAGUCGGAGUCGCUAGUAAUCGCAGAUCAGCAACGCUGCGGUGAAUACGUUCCCGGGGCUUGUACACACCGCCCGUCAAGUCAUGAAAGUUGGUAACACCCGAAGCCGGAGGCCUAACCGUUGUGGGGGAGCCGUCGAAGGUGGGACUG
rnacentral:rRNA from 1 species